rnacentral:rRNA from 1 species
GUGGGGAAUUUUGGACAAUGGGCGCAAGCCUGAUCCAGCAAUGCCGCGUGUGUGAAGAAGGCCUUCGGGUUGUAAAGCACUUUUGGCAGGAAAGAAAUAGCGCGUGCUAAUACCAUGCGCGAAUGACGGUACCUGCAGAAUAAGCACCGGCUAACUACGUGCCAGCAGCCGCGGUAAGACGUAGGGUGCAAGCGUUAAUCGGAAUUACUGGGCGUAAAGCGUGCGCAGGCGGUUUUGAAAGACAGGUGUGAAAUCCCCGGGCUCAACCUGGGAACUGCACUUGUGACUGCAAGGCUAGAGUGUGUCAGAGGGAGGUGGAAUUCCGCGUGUAGCAGUGAAAUGCGUAGAGAUGCGGAGGAACACCGAUGGCGAAGGCAGCCUCCUGGGAUAACACUGACGCUCAGGCACGAAAGCGUGGGGAGCAAACAGGAUUAGAUACCCGUGUAGUCC